AUGGAGCGCGCGCUGGCCGUCGCCUUGCUCGUCAUGCUCACGCUCUGGAGCGUGCCGGUGGCGGCCGGCGACGGAGGCAUUUCCCUGGCGCCGGAGGCGUGCCGCCUGGACCGGCUUCCCCGUGGCUCACCCGGAGACGCUACAACGGCUGAAAUCGGGAGAAUGAACAACAGAAUACUAUCGGGAAGAGACACAGGAGCUUUGACCAGAGGCUAUGUGAAGGAGCUCAAGGUUGCUGUGCCUAAAAAACCGGGGUUUAAAGCUUUUGUGAAUGCAACUUCUCAUAAUGCCAGUGGCUAUUGCAUUGAUAUCUUUGAGGCUGCUGCGAAGAAACUACCACAUGUUCUUCAUUAUGAGUUCGUUGCCGUUGAUGGUUCUUAUGACGAACUAGUACGCAACGUGUCUUCGGGGAACUACGAUGCAGUAGUGGGUGACAUAACUAUAACCGCAGCGCGAGCUGUAGACGUGGACUUCACGAUGCCAUACACCGAGUCAGGCGUGUCACUGCUUGUGCUCACCGAGAAUGACUCCAAGUCAGCAAUUGAAUGGGUGUUCCUAAAGCCACUAACAACACAACUUUGGUUAGCACUUAUGGGGGGAUUCUUCUUCACUGGACUUGUUGUGUGGACGAUCGAGUGGCCCAGAAACCCGGAGUACCAAGGAUCGAGUUUGAGACAGUGCAGCACUGCUCUCUACUUUUCUUUCUCGACUUUGACAUUUUCUCAUGGUUAA
rnacentral:rRNA from 1 species